AUCGCUUCUCGGCCUUAUGGCUAAGAUCAAAGUCUAGUAUAGGUUCUUAUCAGCUUAACAUCUGAUAGAUCCUCCAUCGGAGGACAACAAAUGUUAAACUGAUUUUUGGAAAUCGACGGAGUUUUUUAGGAGCUUGCCCCACCUCAUAGGAAUCCUCAAAGCUUUUUUAUAAUAGUGGUACUCUGAGUGCGUCAUU